GCACUGUUGAAGAGUCCCAUAAUAGGACGAAACGGCUGUCCAGUUC
rnacentral:hammerhead_ribozyme from 1 species